GACGAACUGCCCAAACGUUGUUCGGAAUCACUGGGCUUAAAGGGCGCGUAGGCGGCGGGGUAAGUCUGGUGUGAAAUCUCGGAGCUCAACUCCGAAAUUGCACUGGAUACUGCUCUGCUAGAGGGCUGGAGAGGAGAUCGGAAUUCACGGUGUAGCAGUGAAAUGCGUAGAUAUCGUGAGGAAGACCAGUGGCGAAGGCGGAUCUCUGGACAGCUCCUGACGCUGAGGCGCGAAGGCUAGGGGAGCAAACGGG
rnacentral:rRNA from 1 species